UACGAAGGGAGCUAGCGUUGUUCGGAAUCACUGGGCGUAAAGCGCACGUAGGCGGAUGUGUCAGUCAGGGGUGAAAUCCCGGAGCUCAACUUCGGAACUGCCUUUGAUACAGCACAUCUGGAGUCCGGAAGAGGUGGGUGGAAUUCCUAGUGUAGAGGUGAAAUUCGUAGAUAUUAGGAAGAACACCGGUGGCGAAGGCGGCUCACUGGACUGGUAUUGACGCUGAGGUGCGAAAGCGUGGGGAGCAAACAGG
rnacentral:rRNA from 1 species